AGUAGGUUAUUUCAGAAUGAGAAUCCAGUGCCUGGUUCAUAUAUCUCACAUGCACCUGCUGAGGGAUGCAGUCCUUCAUUUUCUAAGAGAGGAACAGGCAGCUUUUCUUCAAAAAGAUUAAGCCCAGGACCUGAUGCUUUUAACCUCCAGACGUCUCUACUUCACAAGCAUGGUUUUAAUAGAGAAGAAUCCAGAAUGUUUCGUCUGCCUGUUGCAGUAAAGAGAGAAGAAACAAAAAAUGAAAAUCCUGCACCAAAUCAAUAUGAUGUGUCUUAUAGUGCUGUGGACAAAAAUUCAUCCGUUUCAGCUCAAAGUGCAUUCUGCUCUAAAUCCAGACGGAGUGCCAGUGUCUCAGACAUCUCUAAAGGACCCUCUCCCUGUGAGUA